UGAGUCAGUAACCCACUGGCGUAACACUCCGCAUCAACUUCCCUGUCGGCGUCCGUCUUGGACCAGAGCCAGCCCUUAAAGGAACAGUUUGACAUUUUGGGAAAUGUGCUUAUUUGUUGUUUCUUGUAAGUAAAUUAGAAGGUCAG